rnacentral:lncRNA from 1 species
UUUUUUAUAGUAAGUUUCCUCUUUCUAGUCCAUGUUUAACAUAAAAGACACAGCCUUUCCUCCAUCUCUUCUCAUGGUAGCUGUGAGAAUUUCCACCUAAUCUAUACUUUUUUUUCCUGUAAACUCUUCUUAAUAAAGCUAUCCUCAGGCUUGAGAAACAAGGCCAAUUCCCUAUUCCCACCCCCCAAAAACUUUAGUAAUCCGAGUAGAUGGUGGGACCAGGGAGAAGACUCAGGAGAUGAGUGAUGUGUGAGGACCUGAGAUCGCUAACAAACAUACAGAAAGCCAGGUAUGGCCGAGCUGCCUAGCUGAAAGAAAGGGUGUGUGUGUGUGUGUGUGUGUGUGUGUGUGUGUGUGUGUUCUGUUUAAUCAGAGAGACCCUGUCUCAAGAAAUAAGGCAGAACAGAGAAAUAAACCGGAUAUCCUUCUCUGGCCUCUGCACAGUUGUGCACAUCUGCACACAUGCACACAUAUCCCUACACAUGUGCAUACAGUAGUGUACAGCUAAAAAAUAGUGAACAGCAACUGAGGAAGAUAGCCGACGUGGACCUCAGGCCUCCUUGCACACGUGAAUAGAUUACUCAGUGCACACAAAGAAUACAUCACAAGUAACAAUCUGCAGCUCCGUGCUCUUGCUUUAUCUUCUCAAUGAAUACAGCCCAGGACUAAGUCAUUAGUUUCCGCAGUGGAAUGUCUCCUAAGCAUUUUGUUGGAAAGGAAGAAGGAAAGAAUGCUGCUGUUUGACUUCCUAACUUCGCCUUAGCAACUUGUCACCCAUCUGGCUUUAAUCUGUAGAACUGUUGCCCUGGGUGCUGUUUUCGGGGAGGCCUACACCAUCUGUUGGACAGGGUGAUGAGUUUAGCUUUGUGUUCAUCAUCGGCUACUAGUCUGUAGUGAUGAGAACAGACCAUUUCACAUCCCAUCGCCCUGGUGAGAUGCAUGUCACUCAGGCAUGGAGGGUUAACAGCACAUAGGGGAUGGCCCAUCUCCUUGCUGGUGCUUAUGAGGGAUUGGGGUUCUGCGCAAAGCUUCUUGUGUUCUUCUCCUCUUCCUCCUUUUCCUCCUCCUUAAUUUCUUUAUUUUGGGCACAAGAUCUUACUAUUAUUUGCCCCAAGUCUGCCUGGUUCUAUUUAGCUCCUGUGAUUAAGGCUCAGAAAUGACUUGAUCACAUGAUUAAUACAGAGCAAUCGUCCUCAUCUGCCUGGGUUUAGAUAUGGAGGUCAUUCUCUAUAUAGAGAACAUUCAAGAGAUAACUGCUGAGUCAGGCUAAAAUGAACUUCCUUCGUCCUCUUGUUUUCUGAGUGAUAUUUUGGCAGAUUGUUAUAUAAUCCAAACAGUAAAGUUCUUUAAGGAGAACAUCUGCAGUUAUCACAUUAUAUUUUACUAUUGUAUGAUAUAUUUUAUACAUUAUCUACCACCAAAACCUGAAUCUUCAUGACAGAAUUAGAAAAUAGAAAAACAAUUAGCUUUCUGUUUCAUAACGAUGUCCACAUCCAGUCCUUCCUCCUCUUUUUAUAUUUUGCCUUUUUGUUCAUUUCUUCAUGUAAUACUGUAUCUACUUGGACAUUUAUUUAUAUGCAUACAUCUAUUAUUGGCUAGAUUUCAUAAAUGACAGAAACAUGUUUUUUUCUGAGAUUGUAUGAACUUAAUAUUAUAUAUUUUACAAUAUUGCAUAAAUACAUAAUAUUUUAGUAUAAUGCUUAGGUCCAUCCAUUUUCCUGUAGUUUUUGUAAACUUUAUUUUUUUAGAACAAAGUAGUAUUCCAUUUUUGUUUGUUUGUUUUGUUUUGUAUUCGUUUUUAUAUAUACCAACUACAUAAAAUUCCAUAUAUACCAAAUUUUCAUUAUCUGUUUAUCUGUUGGUGGAAAACUUGGUUGGUUCCAGUAAUUUCUUUUUCUUUUUACAGUAAAAAGAAUUUCGAGCCGGGCGUGGUGGCGCAUGCCUUUAAUCCCAGCACUUGAGAGGCAGAGGCAGGCAGAUUUCUGAGUCCCAGGACAGCCAGGGCUACACAGAGAAACCCUGUUUCGAAAAACAAAAACAAACAAACAAACAAACAAACAAAGAAUUUCAUUUUUAUUUACAAAUAUGUAGCACUUCAUCUAAGAGUGGGUACUUGUGGUAUUUUUAUAUCCACGCUGGCAUGUCAAUUGCUGGUGUUAUUUUUCAUGUCUUGUUUAUGUAGUCAUAUUGUUGACGUCUUUUUUUUUUCACUUGGAUAUUUUAUUUGCAUUUCAAAUGUUAUCCCCUUUCUCAGUUUCCCCCCUCCAGGAAACCCCCCAUUCCAUCCCCCUUUUCCCCCACCUCUAUGAGGGUGUUCCUCUUUUUAAGAAGGACUGAAGCACCCACAUGUUGGCUUUCCUUCUUGAGCUUCAUGUGGUCUGUGAAUUGUAUCUUGGGUAUUCCGAGCUUAUCAGUGAAUGCAUACCAUGUGUGUUUCUUUUGUGAUUGGGUUACCUCAGGAUGAUAUUUUCUAGUUCCAUUUGCUUUUUUUUUUUUUUUUUUUUUUUUGGUUUUUCGAGACAGGGUUUCUCUGUAGCCCUGGCUGUCCUGGAACUCACUUUGUAGCCUGGCCUCAAACUCAGAAAUCCUCCUGCCUCUGCCUCCCGAUUGCUGGGAUUAAAGGCGUGCGCCACCACCCUGGCCCUGUACCACAUUUUCUGUAUCCAUUCCUCUGUUGAAGGGCAUCUGGGGUCUUUUCAGCUUCUGGCUAUUAUAAAUAAGAGUGAUUUCUUUAUAUCCAAUAAAACAACAAUAAACACAGGGUGCAGAUACCUACCUGUGGAAGGGUAUAGCAUUCUCUGGAUAGCCCAGUAGUGAGUAGCUGAGUCUACAAUGUCUAUAUUAAGUUGCAGUCUACCAAUGUGAAUAAAGUUUCUUUACAUUUGUUGUCAAAGAUUUGUCGAUGACAGUCAUUCUGACUGUCAAAAACUGUCUGUUCAGUUCAUUAGCCCAUUUGUUAACUGGUAGUUUAUGGUAUUUAAAUUUUGGAUAUUAGCUCCUUGUCCUAAGUGGAGCUGGUAAGGAUUUUCUCUUAUACUGUGAGCUGUUAAUGCCACGGAUUGUUUCCUUUGCUGUAUAGAAACAUGAAUUUUCAUGUAGUUGAAAAUGUAGGG